UCCAGAGAUGGAUUGGUGCCUUCGGGAACUGUGAGACAGGUGCUGCAUGGCUGUCGUCAGCUCGUGUUGUGAAAUGUUGGGUUAAGUCCCGCAACGAGCGCAACCCUUAUCCUUUGUUGCCAGCGGUUCGGCCGGGAACUCAAAGGAGACGGC
rnacentral:rRNA from 1 species